UACGUAGGGUGCGAGCGUUAAUCGGAAUUACUGGGCGUAAAGCGUGCGCAGGCGGGGUUUUAAGCCAGACGUGAAAUCCCCGGGCUUAACCUGGGAAUGGCGUUUGGGACUGGAAGUCUGGAGUGCGGCAGAGGAGACUGGAAUUCCUGGUGUAGCAGUGAAAUGCGUAGAUAUCAGGAGGAACACCGAUGGCGAAGGCAGGUCUCUGGGCUGACACUGACGCUCAUGCACGAAAGCGUGGGGAGCAAACAGG
rnacentral:rRNA from 1 species